rnacentral:rRNA from 1 species
GAGCGCGGGAAGCAGGCAGAUCCUCUUCGGAGGUGACGCUUGUGGAACGAGCGGCGGACGGGUGAGUAACACGUGGGCAACCUGCCUGUAAGAUUGGGAUAACCCCGGGAAACCGGGGCUAAUACCGGAUAAUACUUUUCGUUGCAUAACGAGAAGUUGAAAGGCGGCUUUUAGCUGUCACUUACAGAUGGGCCCGCGGCGCAUUAGCUAGUUGGUAAGGUAACGGCUUACCAAGGCGACGAUGCGUAGCCGACCUGAGAGGGUGAUCGGCCACACUGGGACUGAGACACGGCCCAGACUCCUACGGGAGGCAGCAGUAGGGAAUCUUCCGCAAUGGACGAAAGUCUGACGGAGCAACGCCGCGUGAGUGAUGAAGGUUUUCGGAUCGUAAAACUCUGUUGUCAGGGAAGAACAAGUGCCGUUCAAAUAGGGCGGCACCUUGACGGUACCUGACCAGAAAGCCCCGGCUAACUACGUGCCAGCAGCCGCGGUAAUACGUAGGGGGCAAGCGUUGUCCGGAAUUAUUGGGCGUAAAGCGCGCGCAGGCGGUCCUUUAAGUCUGAUGUGAAAGCCCACGGCUUAACCGUGGAGGGCCAUUGGAAACUGGAGGACUUGAGUACAGAAGAGGAGAGUGGAAUUCCACGUGUAGCGGUGAAAUGCGUAGAGAUGUGGAGGAACACCAGUGGCGAAGGCGACUCUCUGGUCUGUAACUGACGCUGAGGUGCGAAAGCGUGGGGAGCGAACAGGAUUAGAUACCCUGGUAGUCCACGCCGUAAACGAUGAGUGCUAGGUGUUAGGGGGUUCCCCCC